GACGAACGCUGGCGGCGUGCUUAACACAUGCAAGUCGAACGGAAAGGCCCUGCUUGCAGGGUACUCGAGUGGCGAACGGGUGAGUAACACGUGGGUGAUCUGCCCUGCACUUCGGGAUAAGCCUGGGAAACUGGGUCUAAUACCGGAUAUGACCUUCCAUGUAGUGUGGGGGGGGGAAAGAUUUAUCGGUGUGGGAUGAGCCCGCGGCCUAUCAGCUUGUUGGUGGGGUAAUGGCCUACCAAGGCGUCGACGGGUAGCCGGCCUGAGAGGGUGGACGGCCACAUUGGGACUGAGGUACGGCCCAGACUCCUACGGGAGGCAGAAGUGGGGAAUAUUGCACAAUGGGCGGAAGCCUGAUGCAGCGACGCCGCGUGGGGGAUGACGGCCUUCGGGUUGUAAACCUCUUUCGACAGGGACGAAGCUUCGGUGACGGUACCUGUAGAAGAAGCACCGGCUAACUACGUG
rnacentral:rRNA from 1 species